CACUCCAUCGCUGCUUGAUCGUCGUUGCUCCUAACCUGGUUCACUCACCCUCGUCCUCUGCCAAGUCGGCUGGGCUCGCUCACCUGCCCUCUCUCUUUGGGCUUCCCCCCACGGCGUCCUCCCAGUUCUCCCGUGCCUCCUUUCUUCCUCGCCCCCAGUGUCCCCCGGCUCUCUGUUCUCUGUCUCCUCGGUUCCCCGUGCCUGCGCUUCCCCAACAUCCACCUCUCCCUCAACUCCAGUCCCUCAACCCCUUUUUCCCCCCCAAUAAAACCUGUCUUUCUUGA